UGGGGAAUAUUGGACAAUGGGCGAAAGCCUGAUCCAGCCAUGCCGCGUGUGUGAAGAAGGCCUUAUGGUUGUAAAGCACUUUAAGCGAGGAGGAGGGUACUGGUAUUAAUACUACCAGCUACUGGACGUUACUCGCAGAAUAAGCACCGGCUAACUCUGUGCCAGCAGCCGCGGUAAUACAGAGGGUGCGAGCGUUAAUCGGAUUUACUGGGCGUAAAGCGUGCGUAGGCGGCUAAUUGAGUCGGAUGUGAAAUCCCCGAGCUUAACUUGGGAAUUGCAUUCGAUACUGGUCAGCUAGAGUAUGGGAGAGGAUGGUAGAAUUCCAGGUGUAGCGGUGAAAUGCGUAGAGAUCUGGAGGAAUACCGAUGGCGAAGGCAGCCAUCUGGCCUAAUACUGACGCUGAGGUACGAAAGCAUGGGGAGCAAACAGG
rnacentral:rRNA from 1 species